GACGAACGCUGGCGGCGUGCUUAACACAUGCAAGUCGAACGGAAAGGCCCUGCUUUUGUGGGGUGCUCGAGUGGCGAACGGGUGAGUAACACGUGAGUAACCUGCCCUUGACUUUGGGAUGACUUCAGGAAACUGGGGCUAAUACCGGAUAGGAGCUCCUGCUGCAUGGUGGGGGUUGGAAAGUUUCGGCGGUUGGGGAGGGACUCGCGGCUUAUCAGCUUGUUGGUGGGGUAGUGGCUUACCAAGGCUUUGACGGGUAGCCGGCCUGAGAGGGUGACCGGCCACAUUGGGACUGAGAUACGGCCCAGACUCCUACGGGAGGCAGCAGUGGGGAAUAUUGCACAAUGGGCGGAAGCCUGAUGCAGCAACGCCGCGUGCGGGAUGACGGCCUUCGGGUUGUAAACCGCUUUCGCCUGUGACGAAGCGUGAGUGACGGUAAUGGGUAAAGAAGCACCGGCUAACUACGUG
rnacentral:rRNA from 1 species